rnacentral:rRNA from 1 species
AACGAACGCUGGCGGCAGGCUUAACACAUGCAAGUCGAGCGCGUAGCAAUACGAGCGGCAGGCGGGUGAGUAACGCGUGGGAAUCUACCGAGCCCUGCGGAAUAGCUCCGGGAAACUGGAAUUAAUACCGCAUACGCCCUUCGGGGAAAGAUUUAUCGGGGUUUGAUGAGCCCGCGUUGGAUUAGCUAGUUGGUGGGGUA